rnacentral:misc_RNA from 1 species
AAGUCGUAACAAGGUUUCCGUAGGUGAACCUGCGGAAGGAUCAUUAUUUGAAUUCCCAACUGGGUGAGAUUGGCUGGCUCUCGGGCAUGUGCACAUCUCAUUUCAUUUACUCUACCUCUUGACUUUUUCCACAGGACAGCUGGGUGGUUGUAGGGCUUUCAUUGUCUAUGGCUACGGUUUGCUUUGUGUGCUUUAUAAACUCAUAAUCAAGUUCAGAAUGUCUAUUGUGUAUCCCACAUUUAAAUACAA